UCCUUACACCCUCCCCAUCCUUGGAUUGUACAUUCUGCCCACUGUUCCCAAAGUGGGAGCCAUUUUUAAGGAUGUAUCCUUGAGAGAGCAGUGUGUUAUUGAGACCAUCUGGAUGGCAUACAUGACUGAACCCAGUGAAGGCCUCUGUAUAAACUUUUAAGAUUCUGGUGGGCAAAUAUGGAGAUCUACUCAUCCUGCAGCCACCCAAGACAAGCCUUGUGAAGCUGCUUCCUAUGGCCUUCUCAGGCCAAGUGAUGAUGAGCGUGGGACUGUGGAGUCAGUUCAUCUCCAGUCAAGGCUGUGCUCGAGAAGAGUCUACAAGUAUGGGACAGGGUCCUGGAAGGGUGCCAACAGGGGCUUGCACAGGUCUAUCAGGAGGAAGAAAGUUAAUUAAAAGUCCGGUUAAGUUGGCUCAAAAGAAUAAUAAAUCAAAAAGUUCAUCAGGAGGAGCUGAGUGGGACAUGAUCCAAAGGAUCAAAGUGCGGGUCAGAAACGGGAUGAUUGGAAACAAAGCCAGCUCAGGAACUCACCUUGGGAUUGCUGAGACAAUGCUCUGGCAACAUCUUAUGCACAGGUUGGUGAGCGAAGCUGGAGAGGGCCCUCGUCCUGACAAUACCAGAGCCUGGAUAGAUCCUCAUAAUUUGAUGGGAAGGGAACAGUCUUGAGAGACAGUUUUGCAAGUGCUGGUUUUAGAGCAUUGUUUUCCUGGUUUGUCAAGUGAGAGAUCUGUGUUGAUAAUGUCUAGUGUUUGUGAAUAAUAACAUUCUUUGACACCAUCUGGAUAAGGCACCUAAAGCACUAGGCUCAUGUCUCUCCUAGAACCAGCCAGUCCUCCCUCAACCUUUGCAAAUCUAUCCCUGGUGCUGAUGUUCAGCAUGUGCAUGUGCAUAACAUCUGAGGAGAGCAAACAGCAGGGGCAGAGCCCCAGGACACCCAUCCUUCCUCGGCAGCGGAAGGUACCUCAGUUAGCACCUUCUACAGGAAGGAAACGCCUGUGGAGAG
rnacentral:lncRNA from 1 species